GAACGAACGCUGGCGGCGCGCCUAAUACAUGCAAGUCGAGCGAGAAGACGUAGCAAUACGUUUGUAAAGCGGCGAACGGGUGAGGAAUACAUGGGUAACCUACCCUCGAGUGGGGAAUAACUAGCCGAAAGGUUAGCUAAUACCGCGUACGCUCCUUGGACUUCGGUUCAGGGAGGAAAGCGAUACCGUGGGUAUCGCGCUCUUGGAUGGGCUCAUGUCCUAUCAGCUUGUUGGUGAGGAACGGCUCACCAAGGCUUCGACGGGUAGCUGGUCUGAGAGGACGAUCAGCCACACUGGCACUGCGACACGGGCCAGACUCCUACGGGAGGCAGCAGUAAGGAAUAUUGCGCAAUGGGCGAAAGCCUGACGCAGCGACGCCGCGUGGGGGA
rnacentral:rRNA from 1 species